GAAGGGAGCUUGCUCCUGGAUUCAGCGGCGGACGGGUGAGUAAUGCCUAGGAAUCUGCCUGGUAGUGGGGGAUAACGUCCGGAAACGGGCGCUAAUACCGCAUACGUCCUGAGGGAGAAAGUGGGGGAUCUUCGGACCUCACGCUAUCAGAUGAGCCUAGGUCGGAUUAGCUAGUUGGUGGGGUAAAGGCCUACCAAGGCGACGAUCCGUAACUGGUCUGAGAGGAUGAUCAGUCACACUGGAACUGAGACACGGUCCAGACUCCUACGGGAGGCAGCAGUGGGGAAUAUUGGACAAUGGGCGAAAGCCUGAUCCAGCCAUGCCGCGUGUGUGAAGAAGGUCUUCGGAUUGUAAAGCACUUUAAGUUGGGAGGAAGGGCAGUAAGUUAAUACCUUGCUGUUUUGACGUUACCAACAGAAUAAGCACCGGCUAACUUCGUGCCAGCAGCCGCGGUAAUACGAAGGGUGCAAGCGUUAAUCGGAAUUACUGGGCGUAAAGCGCGCGUAGGUGGUUCAGCAAGUUGGAUGUGAAAUCCCCGGGCUCAACCUGGGAACUGCAUCCAAAACUACUGAGCUAGAGUACGGUAGAGGGUGGUGGAAUUUCCUGUGUAGCGGUGAAAUGCGUAGAUAUAGGAAGGAACACCAGUGGCGAAGGCGACCACCUGGACUGAUACUGACACUGAGGUGCGAAAGCGUGGGGAGCAAACAGGAUUAGAUACCCUGGUAGUCCACGCCGUAAACGAUGUCGACUAGCCGUUGGGAUCCUUGAGAUCUUAGUGGCGCAGCUAACGCGAUAAGUCGACCGCCUGGGGGAGUACGGCCGCAAGGUUAAAACUCAAAUGAAUUUGACGGGGGCCCGCACA
rnacentral:rRNA from 1 species